rnacentral:rRNA from 1 species
UACGUAGGGAGCGAGCGUUGUCCGGAUUUAUUGGGCGUAAAGAGCGCGUAGGCGGCUCAGUAAGCCGGGUGUGAAACCUCCAAGCUCAACUUGGAGCGGCCAUUCGGAACUGCUGUGGCUAGAGUCUGGUAGGGGAACACGGAAUACCUGGUGUAGCGGUGAAAUGCUUAGAUAUCAGGUGGAACACCAGUGGCGAAGGCGGUGUUCUGGGCCAGUACUGACGCUGAGGCGCGAAAGCGUGGGGAGCGAACAGGAUUAGAUACCCGCGUAGUCC